rnacentral:snRNA from 1 species
UCACUUCAGCAGUGCAUAUACUAAAAUUGGAACAACACAGAGAAGAUUAGCAUGGCCCCUAUGCAAGGAUGACGCACAAAUUUGUGAAGUGUUCCAUAUUUUU